UGUACUUUAUGUUUGCAUGUAUUAUUGCUACUAUGUUACAAUAGUUUAAAGGUGACAUCACAGCUGAGACUUUCAGAACUUGAAUGUAGAUAUCUGCUGUACUUUCUAAGUGGCUGUCAAAACAUUUUUUUCCUGCUUAUGGUGAUAAGUCUCCCUUUCUUCAGGUGCUACAGAGACAUUGUUUUGUUAUUCAUAUAUGAGGGAAACUGCCAGAUCUAGGUGGGCAAUAUAAAUUCAUGAUAUCAGAGUAAAUUGUCAGUUAAGCCCUAAGAUGAUUCAGGCUUCAAAUAUGUUGAAGUGGCAUAGUUUGGAAUCCUUUUCCUCCUGCCACAAAGAAUUCUUUGAUUCUUUCGAGUGACCAUCAGCUUCAGAGUUUGAAUGAAUCACAUGACUCUCUGCCACACCACAGAUGUCAGGGUCUAUGGGCAGGCCUUCUUGGUGGAUGAGAAAUUGAACAAAAAGUCUACCUUUUUUUGAUAAGGGCAAGAUGGCUACAGCCGCCUGUUAACUGAAUUAAUCAGAGUGAAAAUAGCUGCUCUCAAGAAUCCUGGUCCCAAGUGCUACUUCUCCACUGCAGGAAGCAGAUGGUUCCUGAGAGCUGACUUGGAGGAUAUUUUUAUACUGCAGCCGAGAUACAAGUGCAGCUUAUGAAGACAAGGAGCGGAUCCACAGUAACAGGGAGCUCACUGCAGGCUGCAGUCUGUGGGAGGGAGCUUUGGUGAAGACGCACGCAGGUAUUUUAUCUGACGCUCUGACUCAGAUAAUUUGCCUGGAGCUGAGCAUUGCCACAUGCUAUCCUUGUGUUACUCCUGGAGCAGAAACGUGAAACUAGUUUAGAAGAAUCCAAAUGAGUGAACUUCCUUUUGUUGCGUAAAUACAAUCUCGAGAUGGAAAACAAACUUAGCUACAAUUAUUGUAUUGUACCUAAACAGAGAGAAGGACCAAGACCAACAUUGCGGCAUUUCCUAAGACUAAACGGUGCUCAGAUACAGCCAUUUUAAAACUACAAAUGAAAGACAAAUGUCCUUGGCACACAGCCUACAAACAUGGAUGUGGAAGGCAACCUGAAAAUAAGAUCAGCCACUGCAGCUGGUGAAAAGCCAGACACUUCAUUCAAGCCACCGAGGCUUGCUCCACGCUGAGCUGCCUAGAGCUGCCCACAGGCUGGCAGGAAGAUCUGAAUGUCUGUCGGCAGGCAGUGUGUCCUGCAGGGGUGCCCACUGCUCUGCUGAGUGCCCAAGUGGGUAUUUUGGCCCAGACAUCCAUGUAGAGGGUGCCAGCUGGGCAGGGACAUCUCCCUCAAGGUGCUUGAAGGGCUUCCCGCCUGACACCUGGGUGUCCACAGUGCCGUCAUUUGUAUCCCAUCGUGCGUCCCUGCUCUCUAGGCCUGGAGCCUGUGUGGGCAGCACCGUCCUGCUGAUGGCCACGGGUUACAACUUUCAGUCCAAACAGAGCCUGACCUGGGACUGCUGCAGUGGGUAAUAUUCUUGUGGCAUGUGUAAGAAGAUUUCUGCUGUACCAUUGCACUAUUUCAUGAUGCAGUGCACACCCAGAGGAGGACCCGACUGCAGAGAGAUCGCUGCCACGUGCCGGAUCUACAGAUGCAUUGGGAACGCCUGCCUGUGUAAACACAGAUGCUAUUUUGCAAAAGUUUCUAGAUAGCAGCUGAAUGAUGACUCAGACAUUUUUUGUCACUGCAGAGCUGCACAUGGUCUUGUGUACAGCAUCGUGAAAGACAUUAGAGCAAACGUACCAAUGAAGAGCUCUUUACUCUGGAAUUUUUGUGCACCCCACAUUUUUGCAAUAAUGCUCUCUGCAAUAAGCCAUAAUGUUCUGUGACACGACAUGCAUAGCAAUAAAAAGAGAUAA